rnacentral:rRNA from 1 species
CACCGCCCGUCACACCACGAAAGUGGUCAUAACCAGAAGCAGAUGAGCUAACCGCAAGGAGGCAGUCUACCAAGGUUGUGGCCGCGAUUGGGGUG